rnacentral:rRNA from 1 species
GACGAACGCUGGCGGCGUGCCUAAUACAUGCAAGUAGAACGCUGAAGGAGGAGCUUGCUUCUCUGGAUGAGUUGCGAACGGGUGAGUAACGCGUAGGUAACCUGCCUGGUAGCGGGGGAUAACUAUUGGAAACGAUAGCUAAUACCGCAUAAUAGCAGUUGUUGCAUGACAACUGUUUGAAAGGUGCAAAUGCAUCACUACCAGAUGGACCUGCGUUGUAUUAGCUAGUUGGUGGGGUAAAGGCUCACCAAGGCGACGAUACAUAGCCGACCUGAGAGGGUGGUCGGCCAACAUGGGACUGGGACACGGCCCAGACCCCUACGGGAGGCAGCAGGAGGGAAUCUUCGGCAAUGGACGGAAGUCUGACCGAGCAACGCCGGGUGAGUGAAGAAGGGUUUCGGAUCGUAAAGCUCUGUUGUAAGAGAAGAACGAGUGUGAGAGUGGAAAGUUCACACUGUGACGGUAGCUUACCAGAAAGGGACGGCUAACUACGUG